GACGAACGCUGGCGGCGUGCUUAACACAUGCAAGUCGAACGCAGAGGAUCCAGCUUGCUGGGUCUGAUGAGUGGCGAACGGGUGAGUAACACGUGAGUAACCUGCCCUUCACUCUGGGAUAACCUCGGGAAAUCGUGGCUAAUACCGGAUAGGAGCUCCUGCCGCAUGGUGGGGGUUGGAAAGUUUUUCGGUGAGGGAUGGGCUCGCGGCCUAUCAGCUUGUUGGUGAGGUAGUGGCUCACCAAGGCUUUGACGGGUAGCCGGCCUGAGAGGGCGACCGGCCACACUGGGACUGAGACACGGCCCAGACUCCUACGGGAGGCAGCAGUGGGGAAUAUUGCACAAUGGGCGGAAGCCUGAUGCAGCGACGCCGCGUGGGGGAUGACGGCCUUCGGGUUGUAAACCUCUUUCAGCAGGGAAGAAGCGAGAGUGACGGUACCUGCAGAAGAAGCACCGGCUAACUACGUGCCAGCAGCCGCCGUAACAC
rnacentral:rRNA from 1 species